rnacentral:rRNA from 1 species
GAAUGAACGCUGGCGGCGUGCUUAACACAUGCAAGUCGUACGAGAACUCUUCUGCUUGCAGAAGAUAGUAAAGUGGCGCACGGGUGAGUAACGCGUGGGUAAUCUACCUCUAACUCGGGGAUAACAUCGCGAAAGUGAUGCUAAUACCGGAUGAUAUCUAAUUUGCUUCGGCAGUUUAGGUCAAGGGUGGCCUCUAUAUAUAAGCUACUGAUUGGAGAUGAGCCCGCGUACCAUUAGCUUGUUGGUAGGGUAAUGGCCUACCAAGGCGACGAUGGUUAGCUGGUCUGAGAGGAUGAUCAGCCACACUGGAACUGACACACGGUCCAGACUCCUACGGGAGGCAGCAGUGAGGAAUUUUGCGCAAUGGGGGAAACCCUGACGCAGCAACGCCGCGUGAGUGAUGAAGGCUUUCGGGUCGUAAAGCUCUGUCAAGUGGGAAGAACAAGCUUGAUGUUAAUACCAUCAUGAACUGACGGUACCACUGAAGGAAGCACCGGCUAACUCCGUGCCAGCAGCCGCGGUAAUACGGGGGGUGCAAGCGUUAUUCGGAAUCAUUGGGCGUAAAGAGCGCGUAGGCGGCCCUUUAAGUCAGAUGUGAAAUCCCGGGGCUUAACCCCGGAAGUGCAUUUGAAACUAUUGGGCUUGAGUAUGGGAGAGGGAAGUGGA